GCCAGAUUCAAACUGAACGAGCCAUAGUCCCGUGGGUUGUUGUAAAGCUAACUCGUCUACAACAGACAUUACCUUUGGAAACAUGAAAUUCUUAAUUUUUCUUCUGUUCGUCAUUGCUGUAGCUACUCUUCAAGUUUCUGCAUAUACAUGCGACCCUAAGGAAUGUAACGCAGGAUGUGUUUCUCGUGGCAACCAGUAUGGAUAUUGUAAUACCCCACAACAAUGCAUGUGCGUCGCAAAAGGCUAAAUAUUCCUUAAAGCUCAAUAUUUAGAUACACGCAAGUUAAUAAAUCAACGUUGAAUUGCAAAAAUGAAAUAAUAGUGUAUCUGUCAAUAAAAAAUCUCCUAUAAAUGUUAAAA